GGUUGAUCCCUGCCAGUAGUCAUAUGGUGGUCUCAAAGAUUAAGCCAUGCAUGUCUCAGUGCACGCCUUUAUACGGUGAAACCGCGAAUGGCUCAUUAAAUCAGCUAUGGUUUAUUGGAUCAUACCCGUUAAAUGGAUAACUGUAAUAACUCUAGAGCUAAUACAUGCCACGAUGCCCUGACCCUUACGGGAAUGGGUGCACUUAUUAGAUCAGAAGCCAACCGUGUUGUUGCCCGCAAGGGUGAUGCAUGUUGACCUUCUGGUGACUCUGGAUAAUUGUUACAGAUCGCAGUCGGCUUUAAGUCGGCGACGGGUCCUUCAAAUGUCUGCCCUAUCAACUUUCGAUGGUAGGUGACCUGCCUACCAUGGUGAUAACGGGUAACGGGGAAUCAGGGUUCGAUUCCGGAGAGGGAGCCUGAGAAACGGCUACCACUUCCAAGGGAGGCAGCAGGCGCGCAAAUUACCCACUCCCGGUACGGGGAGGUGGUGACGAAAAAUACCGAUGCGGGACUCUCAACGAGGCUCCGUAAUCGGAAUGAGUGAACUAUAAAUCCUUUCACGAGGAUCAAUUGGAGGGCAAGUCUGGUGCCAGCAGCCGCGGUAACUCCAGCUCCAAUAGCGUAUAUUAAAGUUGCUGCAGUUAAAAAGCUCGUAGUUGGAUCUCGGUAGCACUGUUGCUCGUCAGUCCUUGGGUGGUUGGUCAUGUGCGCAUAGGCGCGACCUGUGUUGCCGUGGUUUGGCUGCCUAAGUUGGCGAAGUGAUGGUGUCGCCUUUCAGCCAUGUCUGUGGUGAAAUACCCUCAGGUGUAGGCGAGUGUCGGAUGGUGUCCAGCGCAAGUUGGGCUCGUCGGCUCGUCUGCAUGCCUUUGGAUGCCCUUCAAAAGGUGUCUGUGGGCGGAUGGCACGUUUACUUUGAACAAAUUUGAGUGCUCAAACCAGGCCGAUGUUGCCUGAAAAGUUUUGCAUGGAAUAAUGGAAUAGGACUUCGGUUCUAUUUCGUUGGUUUUCGGAUCCGAAGUAAUGAUCAAAAGAGACAGGCGGGGACGUUUGUAUGGCUGCGCUAGAGGUGAAAUUCAUGGACCGUAGCCAGACAAACUAAAGCGAAAGCAUUCGUCAAGCAUGUUUUCAUUGGCCAUGAGCGAAAGUCAGAGGCUCGAAGACGAUCAGAUACCGUCCUAGUUCUGACCAUAAACGAUGCCAACUGACGAUCCGUGGUGGUAGUAAAUCAACCUUCCCCACGGGCAGUCCCCGGGAAACCUUUAAGUCUUUGGGUUCCGGGGGAAGUAUGGUUGCAAAGCUGAAACUUAAAGGAAUUGACGGAAGGGCACCACCAGGAGUGGAGCCUGCGGCUUAAUUUGACUCAACACGGGAAAACUCACCCGGCCCGGACACUAUGAGGAUUGACAGAUUGAUAGCUCUUUCUUGAUUUGGUGGUUGGUGGUGCAUGGCCGUUCUUAGUUGGUGGAGCGAUUUGUCUGGUUAAUUCCGAUAACGAACGAGACUCCUGCCUGCUAAUUAGUGCACCUGUCAACUGCACUUGUGUAGGCGGUGUUCGGCGAGGCUGCCUAUCUUAUGCCCCUUGGAGUUGGCCAGCCUGGUUGGUUAGCCUUCAGGGGCCGACUGGCCUGGCGACGCCGGCUCCUCGGGGUGAUAGUGGCUGGUUCGGCGCUAGCUUCCGGGUGCGGCGCGGGUGUCUACUUCUUAGAGGGACAAGCGGGAGAAGCCGCACGAAAUGGAGCAAUAACAGGUCUGUGAUGCCCUUAGAUGUCCGGGGCCGCACGCGCGCUACACUGACGGUGGCAAUGAGUCUGACCUUCUGGCCCGAAAGGGUUGGGCAAACUGGUCAAUCACCGUCAUGACAGGGAUCGGGGCUUGGAAUUGUUCCCCGUGAACGAGGAAUUCCUAGUAAGUGCAAGUCAUAAGCUUGCGCUGAUUACGUCCCUGCCCUUUGUACACACCGCCCGUCGCUACUACCGAUUGAAUGGUUUAGUAAGGUCCUUGGAUUGGCGCCAUUGUGGUGGCUGCCGAAAGGUGGCCACCCGACAGGCGCUGAGAAGACGACCAAACUUGAUCAUUUAGAGGAAGUAAAAGUCGUAACAAGGUUUCCGUA
rnacentral:rRNA from 1 species